ensembl:snRNA U6 U6 spliceosomal RNA
GUGCUCGCUUCAACAGCACCUAUACUAAAAUUGGGAUGAUACAUAAAAGAUUAGCAUGGCCCUUGUGCAAGGAUGACACACAAAUUUGUGAUGCAAUAUUUAA